rnacentral:rRNA from 1 species
GAUCCUGGCUCAGAUUGAACGCUGGCGGCAUGCCUUACACAUGCAAGUCGAACGGUAACAGGUUAAGCUGACGAGUGGCGAACGGGUGAGUAAUGUAUCGGAACGUGCCCAGUCGUGGGGGAUAACCGCUCGAAAGAGCAGCUAAUACCGCAUACGACCUGAGGGUGAAAGCGGGGGAUCGCAAGACCUCGCGCGAUUGGAGCGGCCGAUAUCAGAUUAGGUAGUUGGUGAGGUAAAGGCUCACCAAGCCGACGAUCUGUAGCUGGUCUGAGGGGACGACCAGCCACACUGGGACUGAGACACGGCCCAGACUCCUACGGGAGGCAGCAGUGGGGAAUUUUGGACAAUGGGCGCACAUGGAUCCAGCCAUGCCGCGUGCGGAAGGAAGGCCUUCGGGUUGUAAACCGCUUUUGUCAGGGAAGAAAAGGUUCUGGCUAAUACCUAGGACUCAUGACGGUACCUGAAGAAUAAGCACCCGGCUAACUACGUGCCAGCAGCCGCGGUAAUACGUAGCGUGCAAGCGUUAAUCCGGAAUUACUG